rnacentral:rRNA from 1 species
AGAGUUUGAUCCUGGCUCAGGACGAACGCUGGCGGCGCGCCUAACACAUGCAAGUCGAACGAGCGAGAGAGAGCUUGCUUUCUCGAGCGAGUGGCGAACGGGUGAGUAACGCGUGAGGAACCUGCCUCAAAGAGGGGGACAACAGUUGGAAACGACUGCUAAUACCGCAUAAGCCCACGGUGCCGCAUGGCACAGAGGGAAAAGGAGUAAUCCGCUUUGAGAUGGCCUCGCGUCCGAUUAGCUAGUUGGUGAGGUAAUGGCCCACCAAGGCGACGAUCGGUAGCCGGACUGAGAGGUUGAACGGCCACAUUGGGACUGAGACACGGCCCAGACUCCUACGGGAGGCAGCAGUGGGGAAUAUUGCACAAUGGGGGAAACCCUGAUGCAGCGACGCCGCGUGGAGGAAGAAGGUCUUCGGAUUGUAAACUCCUGUUGUUGGGGAAGAUAAUGACGGUACCCAACAAGGAAGUGACGGCUAACUACGUGCCAGCAGCCGCGGUAAAACGUAGGUCACAAGCGUUGUCCGGAAUUACUGGGUGUAAAGGGAGCGCAGGCGGGAAGACAAGUUGGAAGUGAAAUCUAUGGGCUCAACCCAUAAACUGCUUUCAAAACUGUUUUUCUUGAGUAGUGCAGAGGUAGGCGGAAUUCCCGGUGUAGCGGUGGAAUGCGUAGAUAUCGGGAGGAACACCAGUGGCGAAGGCGGCCUACUGGGCACCAACUGACGCUGAGGCUCGAAAGUGUGGGUAGCAAACAGGAUUAGAUACCCUGGUAGUCCACACCGUAAACGAUGAUUACUAGGUGUUGGAGGAUUGACCCCUUCAGUGCCGCAGUUAACACAAUAAGUAAUCCACCUGGGGAGUACGACCGCAAGGUUGAAACUCAAAGGAAUUGACGGGGGCCCGCACAAGCAGUGGAGUAUGUGGUUUAAUUCGACGCAACGCGAAGAACCUUACCAAGUCUUGACAUCCCUUGACAGGCAUAGAAAUAUGUUUUCUCUUCGGAGCAAGGAGACAGGUGGUGCAUGGUUGUCGUCAGCUCGUGUCGUGAGAUGUUGGGUUAAGUCCCGCAACGAGCGCAACCCUUAUGGUCAGUUACUACGCAAGAGGACUCUGGCCAGACUGCCGUUGACAAAACGGAGGAAGGUGGGGAUGACGUCAAAUCAUCAUGCCCUUUAUGACUUGGGCUACACACGUACUACAAUGGCGUUAAACAAAGAGAAGCAAGACCGCGAGGUGGAGCAAAACUCAGAAACAACGUCCCAGUUCGGACUGCAGGCUGCAACUCGCCUGCACGAAGUCGGAAUUGCUAGUAAUCGUGGAUCAGCAUGCCACGGUGAAUACGUUCCCGGGCCUUGUACACACCGCCCGUCA